rnacentral:tRNA from 1 species
GUCUUCGUGGUGUAGUGGUCAGCACGCUGGGCGCGUAUUCCAGAGGUCUGUGGUUCGAUUCUCGGCGAAGGCG